rnacentral:rRNA from 1 species
UACAGAGGGGGCAAGCGUUAUUCGGAAUUAUUGGGCGUAAAGGGCGCGUAGGCGGUUUUUUAAGUCGGAUGUGCAAUCCCUGGGCUCAACCCAGGAACUGCAUCCGAGACUGGAAGGCUAGAGUACUGGAGAGGGUGGUGGAAUUCCUCGUGUAGCGGUGAAAUGCGUAGAGAUGCGGAGGAACACCAGUGGCGAAAGCGGCUUUCUGGUCCUUAACUGACGCUGAGGCGCGAAAGCAUGGGGAGCGAACGGG